rnacentral:tRNA from 1 species
GCCGGCAUAGCUCAGUUGGUAGAGCAGCUGUCUUGUAAACAGCAGGUCGCGGGUUCGAGUCCUGUUGCCGGCUCCG